UGCGUAGACGGUUAUGUAAGUCGGGUGUGAAAGCCCCGGGCUCAACCUGGGAAUGCCAUUCGAGACUGCAUAGCUAGGGUGCGGAAGAGGGAAGCGGAAUUUCCGGUGUAGCGGUGAAAUGCGUAGAUAUCGGAAGGAACACCAGUGGCGAAAGCGGCUUCCUGGUCCAGCACCGACGUUCAGGCACGAAAGCGUGGGGAGCAAACA
rnacentral:rRNA from 1 species